rnacentral:rRNA from 1 species
UACGAAGGGGGCUAGCGUUGUUCGGAAUUACUGGGCGUAAAGCGCGCGCAGGCGGCUAUCCAAGUCCGUGGUGAAAGCCCGGAGCUCAACUCCGGAACUGCCAUUGAAACUGUUUAGCUUGAGUAUGAGAGAGGUGAGUGGAAUUCCCAGUGUAGAGGUGAAAUUCGUAGAUAUUGGGAAGAACACCGGUGGCGAAGGCGGCUCGCUGGCUCAUUACUGACGCUCAGGCGCGAAAGCGUGGGGAGCAAACAGG